CACGCGAGCACACCCUUCCCUCUCCUUUUUUGCACAAACCCCCCUCUCUGUCUCUCUCCUCUGUAACUCUGGAAAAACCCUUCCAUGGACGAUUUUCUAGAGAGAGAGAGAGAGGAGAGAGGGGCUCCAAGAAGCGCCCGAGAAGCAGACGCUAGGAGAGUAAAAGAGAUAGAAUUCUAAGAGUCAAAUGAGUUCUCUGUGUAACUUUGUGACUGCUCGAGUUUGACAAGAGUGCGGACAAUACCUGGAAGAACCCAAGUUCCUUGCAGGCCACGCGAACCUCGUCAACCACCCUAGAUCUACGAGAAGGGUGGUUUAAAGAGGAAACAUCGAUAGUGGGCAGGGCGAUGAAGGGUUGCAGGGAAAGACUAGGGUUUGGGCGUUGUGAUGGUGGAAGAACAAAUUGUUCAGGGAGAAGGGGUACUCCCAUUUUGGCAAGUGACAUUACACUAGUAAAUGUAUCAGCUGGUAUCACUCUCUUCUCUGCCAUUUUCUCUCUUUCUCUCUCUCGUGUAUGAUCUUCAUGUCCUAGUGAGUUUUCCUAUUUAUAGCUGAAAAAAGCAAAUGCUGUGAAAUUAAUUUGACCUCAAGAUAUCACCAUCACGCACAGUUACAAUGAA